UACGUAGGGACCAAGCGUUGUUCGGAUUUACUGGGCGUAAAGCGCGCGUAGGCGGACCUGCAAGUCGGGGGUGAAAGCCCGAGGCUCAACCUCGGAACUGCCUUCGAUACUGCGGGUCUCGAGUCCGGGAGAGGUGAGUGGAAUUCCUAGUGUAGAGGUGAAAUUCGUAGAUAUUAGGAAGAACACCAGAGGCGAAGGCGGCUCACUGGCCCGGUACUCGACGCUGAGGCGCGAAAGCGUGGGGAGCAAAGCAGG
rnacentral:rRNA from 1 species